rnacentral:misc_RNA from 1 species
CACAUAUAUGGAUAUUUAUGUACAUAUAAAUACAAGAUAUAUUUCAAAGUGCAAAAGAGGUACAGUCAUGUAUCUUUGUGUGUAGACAAAGAAAAUUUUAACCAUAAUCAGAAGGCAUAUUAACUAGUUACUGAUGCUUACUUUAGAUUUGUUUUAAUCAUAUUAGGAGGCUUGGAAAGAAAGAAAAUUGUUAAGGUUAAAGGUGGAAUUACAUAUUAUUGACAGGAUCUCAUAUAACAAUAUUCUGUGUCAACAUGAGCAAUCAUCUUAAGCAAAACAAAUUCCUUGUUGAAUAUCUUCAUAUAUUUUAUGUUUUGGAGUGUUUGGAAAGCACAACAUUCCACUAUUUGUGUACGAGUCCAUAAUUAUUCUGUUAAAGAAGCGAAAAUUUUUUUCCUUCUUGAUCUCUUUUGUUAACUGAAACUGCAUUCAAAUCUGGAAAAAUGAUCUUUUGAAUAGGCAAG